GCCACGGUGGUCUAGCGGUUAGAACGCUGGCCUUGUAAUCCUGGGGUCUCGGGUUCUAUUCCCGGCGGUGCCC
rfam:Zootermopsis nevadensis contig28218, whole genome shotgun sequence.